ACCAGUGUGGCAUAGUGGUUUGAACGCUGGACUAUGAAUCUGGAGACUUGGGUUCAAAUCCUGGCUUGGCCA